AGUAAGACUAUUUCGUGGUGCGACUUUCUUUUCGUUCCGUCUCUCCUUCGGUCCGUGCGAUCUUUCCACCGCGCCGACAUGUGGGCCUGUGUGUGAGCAGCUCCCGUCCCACAUCCUCGCCCUCGCGGAUUUCUCGGAUCCACGCCGCCAUCACCUCGCGGCGCCAUCAACUUCCUCGGAUCGAUGCUGCUCGGAGCAGCUCCCAUCCCCAAUCCUCGCCGUCGCGGAUUUCUCGAUCCACACUGCCAUCACCUCGCUCUCCCCGGUGCGAUCUCCAGCCCACUUUCACCUUGUUUCCCCCGUGCGAUACCUGGCCUGGCAGAAAAAGAAACCGCCAUCUGCGUCCGCUCCCCCGCGAUUCAUCCGUGAGAUCCGCUCCUGCGACCCAUCUCCGCCGAUCACUCUCCAUCCCCUAUCGGGAUCCCACUCCAAUCACGCAGGGCCGCCACUGCGCAUGCUGCUACCUAUCCUUCCCAAUCCCCACCCCUAUGGUCGCACACGUCGCCGCUCACCGUCUCCGCAUCUCGUGUCCCUAUUGGAACACCAUCCCCAUCGCUCCUCGCCCAGAUCCAAAUCCCACGGCCUAUCUUGCUGUGGAUCUUGGUGGAACUAAGCAGCGGCAGCAGAGGAUGCACGUGGUGUGUGCUUGGUGGCCUUCAUCUCACUAUGCUUGUCGAGGUCAGCGGUGAAGCGAAAGCGGCACUUAGGGUUCUUGACGACGCUGCAGAAUCAACACCAGCGAUGGAGCCUCAUUGCAGGAGUUCUUGGCCUGCAAGCCCUCGAACCAAAUCUCCAGGUACAUCUCCAUCCUCCUCUCUGUCCUGCAGGUUCUUUGGGUCCUCCCUCCGCUCUGCCUCGGGUCAGCCGGUCAAGCACCAAUCAGGCGUGCUCGUGUGGUGUACGGCCGACUUGUAGCUAAGCCUUUUUCAACAUUGUUGUAUGUAUUAGGCAUUUUAUAUUGGGAUCUAUUUAUAUGUGAACAAAUUUGAUGUUGAAAAAAAAUCAUUGAUAGAAAUGUACUGUAUAUUUUUUAAAAUAUUUGCUAAUUAUUUUGGAGUGAGACAUUCUUGUUUCCAGUUAUGUACUAUGCAAUGAUUCAGUUCAUCUCAUCCAUAUUAGAUUCUUACUGCAUAGAACCAAAGAGAGUGGUUUCAGUAGACAUUCUUUACUGCACUAUACUUGUGUGAGGAUAUUUUUCUUUUAGUAUGUAAAGUAUUUUCAGUGGCUUUUACGUCUACAGUUUUCUUUCUCUCUUUUUGAACUGCCUACAGUUUCCUUUCAUGUCUGUCAUGUUCCUCAGAAAAUUAUAAAUUGAAUCAGGCAUCCCAAUGCAGUAUUGCUCCCUAAAGUAUCAAAGAACUAUUUAAUACCAUAGCUAAGAACUAUUUAAUACAAUAACUAAGCAUAAGACCAGUGUUAUUUUUAGUACCAACUUAGUACAACCCACUUUUUCCUUGACUAUUUAAUUUUUUGGGUGAUUUAUUUGUAAAUGAAACCCAUAGCUAAGCACAAGAGCAGAAGGUUCUUCUAAUUUCUACUUUGCAUUUUUAUGAUUUAGUACCCACUGCAAUGACAUGUUGUGAUGAAAUUUGUUCUUGGUUGUGUCACCUUAUUCCUCGAGCAGAUCAGACACAAGCACACAACCACACAGAGAAGAAUUUCAAUAAACUUUUCUCUCGGCUAAGGGAGCAACAGGUUUCAGAUUCUCUUGAUGCAAGAUGAUUCAUAUUUACUCCUUCGUUUUUCCAUGUCCAGCGGUUGUCCUACUCAAUCUAAUGUCUCUUGCAUUCCGGCUCCAUGGAAGGUACCAUGCUCUCUCAGAAUAGUCAUGCUCCAUCCCUCCGAACACCACUUUUAUAUAUAAUAAUGUUGCAGUGAAGCUUUGCUUCUUUUAAAAAACAAUGGUAAAAACUAAUGCUUUAGCACUAAUAGGUUAUGGAGCUGAUUAGUUGAUUGAUCAGUUUGUGUAUCAUUGAUUUAUAUAUAAUAAUCUCUACUUACCCUUAGUUCAUUGGAAUAAAAAAUGCAUGUUCAUUUUUAGUUUUCACACUCCUAAUGGCUACCUCCUGAUUCCAUAACUGUUUUUUCUUUCAAACUGAUUAAUUCAUGUACAAGCUAAGAUUACUAUGACUCUUACCAAUGUUUCAGCAUAUAAGUGCUAUUUCUUAGCUUGCCUUAAAAAAAAUGAGCUGAUCAUUGUGUAUUGUCUUUUUAGUUCUGGUGUUUCCUAUUUGGUUUUUGUAGGGAAAAAAACCCUCACGGCCUGUGCUGAGGGCCUCCGCUGCCACUGACGUCGGCGCAUGUGUAAGUUUCAACUAUGCAACUGUGGCACCGCCUUCUGCUGACGAGGAAGUUUCCCAAAGCUCAGAUAUGGGUGGUGCCCAAGCAGUGGAGAAUGACGCCACACCCUAUGCUGCCGAAAUCAAGCAGAAUGUGCUUACUCUUCAGAAGUUGCUAAUGUGCCUGCAAAUGUUAGGAUUGGUUCGUGCAUUACUGCAUAAAUUUCUCUUUGGAAGUCUGAAUGUAACUUUUCUUUUAGGGAUUGGGCCAUAUGUGGAGGUGGCACUCUACCAUGAACCUUCACGGCACUAUUGGUGAUCGAUGUUGUCACCUAUGUUCCUCAACAAGCACCGGAGUAUAUCACAACAAAGAAUCGUUGUUGGCAUCUAUGAAGAAUGGCUAGGUAGUGGAGAUGAGCAAAGGGAAGUUGGUUCUCGAUAAACCCGUUGUUGACAAAAGGCUAAAUCAUCAAAAAGGGACAAUGGCUACUUAUAUGUUGCUCUUGCGUGGAUUUCAGUGUGUACACCCAUUGUUCUUGCCCUGCAUAUUUUGCUGCUUCAAUAUGCCCAGCGGGUCGCGAAGUGAUGGAGCAAAGGGAAAGCUACUGUCACCCACUCUGACGUAUCAACAACUUGGGCAUCGUCAAGGAAAACACUAGAGGCCUUAUCUAGAAUGAUACUGUCACCCACAACAUAUUCUAGGUUGGGAAUUCUUUGUGUCUAUAAACCACAUUUUUGAUUUUUUAGUAGAGAUCCAGAGGGUAUUAAGGGGACCUUGAGUUUUGUACUAGAAAAUAACCUACUUGUUAUCAACCACUUACAUGUCCCUAGAAAAUUUACCCUUAAGGGCAAAAAUAACAUUCGAUGUGCUUGUGUCUCAUCAAGUGUUUCUUGUAGAUGGUUAGAUUUCAUUGGCCUCAGAACCCAUUUAAAGAAAAUCUCAGUGAUGCCUUCUCAAAUUUGCAUGUAUAUAAUAUCUGCCAUUUGGUGGGUGCAAAUAAAAAAGUGAUGGAAAUAGGAAGAGAAAAGUUGAAUGAGCAUGUUCCAGAUGUAAAUUGCUACAUUUCAAGAAACAGUUUUGCCCUUAUUAUUGGACCAGAAA